GGAGGCUCUCCCUCUCUCCCUUUUUCCCUUUCCGCCCAGCUUGGCUAGUUCUUUGGCAGAGCCCCAGGACUUGGAAGGGGGGAGCAGAGGGGGGCUUGGGAGGGCAGCAACUUCCCGAGCUUACCCACGGCCUCAUUUUGAUCUGCAGUACUGCCUGCUCAUUUCCACUUCACAGAUGCUGCUGAGCUCUGCCACGGAGAGACAAAUCCCAGAAGGGGAAGGGAGCGUGGUGGGGAGGGAAGAGAUGAAAGCAGAAAAGAGCCGCAUUUAUUAAGCUGUUUUUCUUUCAGUGAAAAGAAGCAUUUAUCAGUGAUUUCAUAUGUCAUGUGAGAUGUGGCUCCCUGCCAAUUUCUAAGGAUGCAAACAAGGCGCUGACAUCAUACACUAAAUAUAGAGCACUUCUUGCUUUAGGUGAAUAAAUAAUGCAGAUGCAAAAGCCCAGGUUUUCAGUUACACAUUCAUUACCAUCCGUCUGUCAGGUUCUCAUCAUCAGGAGAAAAACGUCCGACUCCAGCAAGGAGUGACAGGUGAAGAAUGCAAAACAACUGCAGACAAUAGAUCAAAGGCCCUGAGCAGGAGGAAGCAUCCCCAGCCCAUCCUUUCUGAGGGAGAACAGAGACAGGAGAGUGGGAAACAAGAAGACAAUGCGCCAUCAAAGUUGCCGCAAGGUGUUGGAUCAAUGACAACAUCUGCAUGAGGGUCUGGGCUACAAUAGAGGCUGUUACCAUGGAAACAGGUGCAAAAGCAUCAGGCGGGAAGAAGCAGGCGAUGAUGAAAGGUGAGAAAGAGGGAGAGUAUUUUUAGCUCCCUUAGGAGGAACGCUGUACAAUGACAUCACCCUACCUCAUUAUUUGCACCCGUGCCGUACAACACAUUGUGGCACCUGCCCCAGACUGCUAAAUGGGAAAAUGUUAUUAUGGAUGUGAAUUAUAAAUACUGCAGUGAAACUUGAGCUUGGGAGUUAUUAGACAUCACUAUUCUGUAAUAAAGGCGAGCAUUUAAUACA
rnacentral:lncRNA from 1 species